UUUUUAACAUGUUUUAUUCCAUUGGUAUUCCAAUGGUAUGAGGCUUGGUGUCAUCAAUAUAUGGAUUAUAACCAGCUUCACAUCUUAAUCCUGGGAAAUGCUAUGCUAGAAGUGCUGAUCCAAAGCCUGGAAGUUAUCAGGUUCUUGAUGGAGAAGAACAUACGCCAAUGGAAUCCCUCCAAAUCUGUGUUGCUUUGGGUUCAUGGAUCUAACAAUUCCAGGAAAAUACUGAAGACUUACCUGUUCUGCGUGGCACAGGAAGAUGGUAUAUUAUAACUGAAGGCAUUGGUUUCUUACCUUCUGAAGAAGACAUCAUUUGCUCCAAUAGUGUGGACUAUCCCAGCCUACUCUCCACUCCUCCUCUUUAAGGAAGAUUUUAGAGGAAGUGAUUGGAUUUCAAUUGCAGAAAAUUUUAGAUGAAGAGGAUGAUUUUGAUCUCUUCUAG